ensembl:lncRNA
AAAGAAGAAUGUUGCGUAGGGAUGUCUUGGCUUGGUGGUAUACUCAGGCUACGGCUGGGUGGUAUACUCAGGCUACGGCUGGGUGGUAUACUCAGGCUACGGCUGGGUGGUAUACUCAGGCUACGGCUGGGUAAAACGUUGCAAGGUUGCCUACUGGUGGUCGACAGUUUCCCAACCCAGAGAGAAUAAAUGUUUCUUAAUUCUUUCACAUUUUCCUUUUCAUGCCAUUUUGAAUCUGAAUAGGUCGGCCCAGCCGUAUUGCCUCUGAAUAGGUCGGCCCAGCCGUAUUGCCUCUGAGUAGGUCGGCCCAGCCGUAUUGCCUCUGAGUAGGUCGGCCCAGCCGUAUUGCCUCUGAGUAGGUAGGCCCAGCCGCAUUGCCUCUGAAUAGGUAGACCUAGCCGUAUUGCCUCUGAAUAGGUAGGCCCAGCCGUAUUGCCUCUGAAUAGGUAGGCCCAGCCGUAUUGCCUCUGAAUAGGUAGACCUAGCCGUAUUGCCUCUGAAUAGGUAGGCCUAGCCGUAUUGCCUCUGAAUAGGUAGGCCUAGCCGUAUUGCCUCUGAAUAGGUCGGCCCAGCCGCAUUGCCUCUGAGUAGGUCGGCCCAGCCGCAUUGCCUCUGAAUAGGUAGGCCCAGCCGUAUUGCCUCUGAGUAGGUCGGCCCAGCCGCAUUGCCUCUGAGUAGGUCGGCCCAGCCGCAUUGCCUCUGAAUAGGUCGGCCCAGCCGCAUUGCCUCUGAGUAG